UUUUGAUCUUCCAUCUUUUCGCCCCACUCUCUCUACUCUGUUAUUUCUAUCUCUCUAUCUUCUCUCAUAUUCAUUUUUCCGAGAUCGAAUCCACGCAAAAAGCAUCAUCCGCUCACCUCCUUCUUCGUCAGGAGUCCACUGUUCUCUCGAACAUAGGGUGAAAUCUUUCAAUAGAAGCUUGUCUUUGUUUUCCUUGGUCGUUUGCGAUGGAUGCUCAAAGGGCUUUGCUAGAUGAGCUAAUGGGUGCCGCUCGUAAUCUUACUGAGGAAGAGAAGAAGGGAUACAAGGAGGUAUGCUGGGAUGAUAAGGAAGUCUGUGCUUUCUACAUGGUUCGGUUUUGCCCACAUGAUUUGUUUGUUAACACGAAGAGUGACCUUGGAGCAUGCCCUAGAAUUCAUGAUUUGAAACUGAAGGAGAGCUUUGAGAAGUCACCAAGACAUGACAACUAUGUUCCCAAAUUCGAAGCAGAGCUUGCUCAAUUUUGUGAGAAGCUGGUAAUGGACUUGGAUCGAAAAGUGAGAAGGGGUCGUGAACGCUUAGCCCAAGAAGACAUCACACCCACUCCUCCUGUAUCUGCAGAGAAGUCGGAGCAGCUAAGUAUACUGGAGGAGAAGAUAAAGAAGCUUCUUGAGCAGGUGGAAUCUCUUGGGGAAGCUGGAAAAGUGGACGAGGCUGAAGCACUCAUGAGGAAGGUGGAGAUGUUGAAUGCUGAGAAGACCCUCAUGACACAGCAAGCCACAAAUGAGAGAGGGCUCACUCUCACUCAAGAGAAGAAGAUGGCCCUCUGUGAGAUUUGUGGCUCUUUCUUGGUUGCAAAUGAUGCGGCUGAGAGAACUCAAUCGCAUAUAACUGGAAAGCAGCAUAUUGGGUAUGGCAUGGUACGAGAUUUCAUUAGUGAAUUCAAGGCGGCCAAGGAGAAAGCGAGAGAAGAAGAGAGAUUAGCAAGGGAGAAGGAAGCGGAGGAGAGGAGAAGGCAGAGAGAGAAGGAAAGUGAGAGUAGAGUGAGAGGGAGGGACAUGGAUGAGAGAGGGAGGUAUCGAGAACGUGACCGGGACUGGGAAAGGGAUAGAGAACGGGACCGGUCUAGGGAGCGAAGCCAUAGAGGAAGCUGGGAAAAAGGGAGGGGAAGGGAUUGGAACCAUAACCACUACAGGGGUGGCAGGGAUACCAGAGGCCGUUCUCCUCCAAGGCACAGUCGUCGAAGAUCCUCAAGAAGCCCAGGCCGUGUUUAUUAGUGUGAACCAUAGAUGUCUUCGUACACCUUAAGAAAUGAGCUCUGUCGAGAGUGUAACAACUUCGUAUCGAAUAUUUUGCCAGCAUAUGGAGGUAGGUGCUUCCUUUUUCUGUCUUUCAAUAGUGUUUUGGUCCCAUUUUUGGUGGUCUUCUGAGUUUUGGCAUGAUUGUUUAUUCUGUUCUUGUUUUGGUCAUGGAAUGCUUAUGGUUUAGUUUAAUGCUCUUGGGCUGUCGGGGUUACUAGUUUUUCUCUUCAUGCAAAGAAGAUUACAGAGAGAGGUUCAGAGGCUAGCACCCAUUUUUUGGCCAUUUUGGCUUCAAGCUUACUUGCAGAGCCUAUGGAAGGAUGAGUCUUCUUAGUUUUGUGGUGAAAGAGAUGGUGAAGAAUUAUUAAGAGAUCUUCUUGCUUGGGAGCAUGUAGUACAAGUUAAAAUUAUUUUAUGGAAGUUGAGAUUAAUGUGAA